GCGCAGUGAAGACCCUGGUAUAGAUCGUCAGUUCUGAACGGGACCCUGAGAGAAACAGUCAUGCACCGCACGAUGGCAGUGACAGCGGUGCUGGUGUUAUGUGUGGCGGGCGCCGCUCACGCGUGGGGAGGACUGUUCAACCGGUUCAGCUCCGACAUGCUCGCCAACCUGGGGUACGGUCGCUCUCCGUACCGCCACUAUCCUUAUGGACAGGAACCCGAAGAGAUAUACGCUGAAGCUUUGGAAGGGAACCGCAUUGAUGACGUGAUAGAUGAGCCGGCUCACUGCUACAGCGCUCCUUGCACUACCAACGGGGAUUGUUGCCGCGGCCUGCUGUGCUUGGAUACCGAGGACGGAGGCCGCUGCCUGCCUGCCUUCGCCGGCAGAAAGCUGGGCGAGAUCUGCAACCGAGAGAACCAAUGUGAUGCUGGACUGGUCUGCGAAGAGGUUGUGCCUGGUGAGAUGCACGUCUGCCGUCCCCCCUCCGCCGGCCGCAAGCAAUACAACGAGGACUGCAACUCCUCAAGCGAGUGUGACGUCACCAGGGGCCUCUGCUGCAUCAUGCAGCGCCGCCACCGCCAGAAGCCUAGGAAGGUAAGAUGUCCAGGGUCAUUAGGUACCGGAGCAGCACGAGGACUGCAACUCCUCAAGCGAGUGUGACGUCACCAGGGGCCUCUGCUGCAUCAUGCAGCGCCGCCACCGCCAGAAGCCUAGGAAGAGCUGCGGAUACUUCAAGGAGCCCCUGGUAUGCAUUGGUCCAGUAGCCACAGACCAAAUCCGUGAGUUUGUCCAACACACCGCCGGAGAGAAACGUAUCGGCGUGUACAGACUCCAUUAAUUUCUCGGCGUUACGCGUCGCGUACAAUGGUAUACGAUAUUACGCGUAAUUUCGAGCAAACUGAGUUAUUUUGUACGCGUUUGCUUUGUGAUGGCUGGAGAUUCUUAUAUUUAUUUUUAGGCUUAUUAAAAUAUAUUUUUAUGGAUAAAUAAAAGAUUUAAAACGUAUACCAUUUUACGCAACGUAAGAUAAAUGAAAAGUCAUUUUUACUAAUAAAAGGUUAUUAAUACAGAAACUCUAUGAUUUGCGAAUUGAAGUUUAGGUUUUCCCUAAUUUAAUUUUUAAGGUUUUUAUUAGUAAAAAAGAUUGGAAAACUUUUACGAGGCUCUCCAUUGAUACCAUCUAGCUCUCGUGAAAUUUUAUGUCAUUCUCAUUGAAACAACACAUUUUGUGAUUACGGUCGUAAAAAUAAAUCAGUUUUUUAUUUAAUUUUACUGUUUUUAUCUUUCGUCAAUUGUUUUUCACUGAGUAAAUUUAUUUUUUGUUUUUGUUUUGUUUUAGUGAGCGUAAUUACAAAACGAUAAAUGGAGAUAUAAAAAAUAUGAAAUUUCGCUUCGAAAAACGGUCAAACGAUAUGCUACAUUUUAUUUGUAUAAAAGAUGCUUUGAAAAAAUAUGAAAAAACAAAUGAUAGGCAAAGCUGAGACAUAUCAUUUUUUUUAGUUUUUAAUUUUAAUCGUGUAGACUUAGAAUAUGGAGAAAUUAAUGUUUCAAAAUUAAAAUACUUAUGAAUGUUACUUAAAAAUUAGUGUUUACGGUGACAAUUGUCACGUCUUAUUAUUAAAAAACAAUUUUAAAGUGUUUAAUCUCUAAAUAUUAUGAUUAGAUUUAAACAUAAAGUUAAUUAUUAAGUCUUCAAUGAAACAAAUACAUAUCUUACUGGCUGAGGCAUUUAAAUUAGUGAUCGAUGUUAAACUUAAUGAAAAAAAAACUAUUUCUAAACAUAUCAUGUACGCUAGUCCUAAGAUAAGGUUAUCCUAAGAUAUAUUUUUUAAUUUCUCGCUUAAAUUUUAGUGAAACUCUCAAACUAUGCUAGGUGCCUAGGAGAUACAUAUCAAUGAAAAAAAAGUUUUUUUUUU
rnacentral:misc_RNA from 1 species